GUGCACGUAGAGGUCGUUGCUCCUGGUUACUGCCCGGGCUUUUGCUUUCUUCUCACAGCAGCGACAAAGCUCGAGCUACGUUGAUUCUGCUUCAGCCUCCUGCAAAAGGAAGUCUUCUGAGGAGUGAGUAUUGGAUCUCAUUGCGGGCCUUUGCAUUCAGGACGGACUGGAUUUCCAAAUCAGCUGCUGCAAAGCAACAGUGUACUUGAACUACUCACAGAAUCAUUCAUAAAGAGUGAAAAGAGAGUGGCAAAACUGAGAUGCAACCAAGACUCUGUUUAGUUACAGUUUUCCCUAUAUUCACUACCUGCUGCUUUACUGUCUUCAUACUUCCUGUCUCCAAAGAAUCAGAUAUCCAUUUUUCUGGUUAAAGUGGAAGCAGCCAGUGGCUGUGAAAUAGGUGACAUGACUUGAAGCCACCAAUGAAGGCAGGGCUCUGAGACCCAUCCAUCUGAAUUCAAAUGGACAAAUAUGAGAUACUUGGGCUAGUGAGAGAAGGAAGCUAUGUAAUGGUGAUGAAGUGCAGGAACAAGGAGGAUGGUAAAAUAUUUGCUAUCAAGAAAUUUUUCGCAAAUAUGUGAGGAUGACAGAAUGGUUUAAAAAAUUGCCAUGAGACAAAUCAAGCUUCUCAAGCAAUUAAGGCACGAGAGCCUGGUGAACCUUAUACAAGUCUGCAGGAAGAAAAAACAAUGGGAUCUAGUAUUUGAAUUCAUUGACCACACAGUCCUUGAGGAUCUUGAGAUGAUUCCAAAUGUCCUGGAUUAUAAAAGAGUUCAAAAAUACUUAUUUCAGAUUAUAAAUGGAUUAGGAUUCUGUCAUAGUCAUAAUGUAAGUAAGGUUCUUUAUCUGCCUAAUUAUUUGUAUUGGCAUAAUUCUUGAUGUAUUUAUUCAUUUUAGCAGCUGAACUUGUGGUUUCAAAUAGAUGCCCAACUUGUAAGAGAUGGAUAUGAAUGAGGUAACUGCUUGCAUAAUCAUUGCAACAAGAAUGUUUUUAUUAUUCGCUAAAUAUUGUGACUGCUAUGUGCUUGAGGGUAUUUUUUUAUUAUUCAUAUUUCCAUGCUAACUCUUUUGGUGAAAGAUAAUAAAGGUGGUGCAUAACACUUCAGAAAGAUAAUAUUAAAACAAUAGAAAAAGCAUGAAAACAGUAAGAUAUUUGCUUUUAAAUUUCUACAGAUUACUAGAUGCAGGGGUAAGUGUUUGCACUGCAAUCAUGGGAUCUAGAAACAUAGAUAAACAUAGAAACAGAGUGAGUCAGAAGGGGCCUCCCGGGCCAUCUAAUCUGACACCCAGCUCCAGGCAACUCUGCUCAGAACAUGCCCACC